GUUGGGUAGGGGAGCGUUCUGUAAGCCUGCGAAGGUGUGCUGUGAGGCAUGCUGGAGGUAUCAGAAGUGCGAAUGCUGACAUAAGUAACGAUAAAGCGGGUGAAAAGCCCGCUCGCCGGAAGACCAAGGGUUCCUGUCCAACGUUAAUCGGGGCAGGGUGAGUCGACCCCUAAGGCGAGGCCGAAAGGCGUAGUCGAUGGGAAACGGGUUAAUAUUCCCGUACUUGGUGUUACUGCGAAGGGGGGACGGAGAAGGCUAUGUUGGCCGGGCGACGGUUGUCCCGGUUUAAGCGUGUAGGUGUGUGUUCCAGGUAAAUCCGGUUCACUUUAACACUGAGGCGUGAUGACGAGGCACUACGGUGCUGAAGCAACAAAUGCCCUGCUUCCAGGAAAAGCCUCUAAGCAUCAGGUAACAUCAAAUCGUACCCCAAACCGACACAGGUGGUCAGGUAGAGAAUACCAAGGCGCUUGAGAGAACUCGGGUGAAGGAACUAGGCAAAAUGGUGCCGUAACUUCGGGAGAAGGCACGCUGACA
rnacentral:rRNA from 1 species